rnacentral:pre_miRNA from 2 species
GUGAGUGUUUCUUUGGCAGUGUCUUAGCUGGUUGUUGUGAACAAUAGACAAGGAAGCAAUCAGCAAGUAUACUGCCCUAGAAGUGCUGCAC